rnacentral:rRNA from 1 species
GUUGAACGCUGGCGGCAGGCCUAACACAUGCAAGUCGAACGAGUGGCGGACGGGUGAGUAAUGUCUGGGAAACUGCCUGAUGGAGGGGGAUAACUACUGGAAACGGUAGCUAAUACCGCAUACCAUCAGAUGUGCCCAGAUGGGAUUUGCUUGUUGGUGGGGUAACGGCUCACCAAGGCGACGAUCCCUAGCUGGUCUGAGAGGAUGACCAGCCACACUGGAAUGGGGCAACGGCCCAGACUCCUACGGGAGGCAGAAGUGGGGAACAUUGCACAAUGGGCGCAAGCCUGAUGCAGCCCUGCCGGGGGUAUGAAGAAGGCCUUGGGUUUGUAAAGUACUUUCAGCGGGGAGGCGUUACCCGCAGAAGAAGCACCGGCUAACUCCGUGCCAGCAGCCGCGGUAAUUC